rnacentral:misc_RNA from 1 species
UCUCCGUAGGUGAACCUGCGGAGGGAUCAUUACUGAGUGAGGGCCUUCGGGCUCGACCUCCAACCCUUUGUGAACACAACUUGUUGCUUCGGGGGCGACCCUGCCGUCCGCGGCUGAGCGCCCCCGGGGUCAAUCAAACACUGCAUCUUUGCGUCGGAGUUUAAGUAAAUUAAACAAAACUUUCAACAACGGAUCUCUUGGUUCUGGCAUCGAUGAAGAACGCAGC